rnacentral:rRNA from 1 species
UUCGCCUUCAUGAAGCCGGAAUUGCUAGUAAUGGCAGGUCAGCAUACUGCCGUGAAUACGUUCCCCGGGGCCUUGUACACACCGCCCGUCACACCAUGAGAGUUGAGAAUACCCGAAGCCUGUGAGCUAACGCUAAGAGGCAGCAGUCGAAGGUAGAAUCAAUGAUUGGGGUGAAGUCGUAACAAGGUAAC